rnacentral:rRNA from 1 species
AAAUUGAAGAGUUUGAUCAUGGCUCAGAUUGAACGCUGGCGGCAGGCCUAACACAUGCAAGUCGAACGGUAACAGGAAGCAGCUUGCUGCUUUGCUGACGAGUGGCGGACGGGUGAGUAAUGUCUGGGAAACUGCCUGAUGGAGGGGGAUAACUACUGGAAACGGUAGCUAAUACCGCAUAAUGUCGCAAGACCAAAGAGGGGGACCUU